rnacentral:rRNA from 1 species
AUUGAACGCUGGCGGCAUGCUUUACACAUGCAAGUCGAACGGCAGCGCGGGGCAACCUGGCGGCGAGUGGCGAACGGGUGAGUAAUACAUCGGAACGUACCCAGAAGUGGGGGAUAACGUAGCGAAAGUUACGCUAAUACCGCAUACGUUCUACGGAAGAAAGUGGGGGACCUUCGGGCCUCAUGCUUUUGGAGCGGCCGAUGUCUGAUUAGCUAGUUGGUGAGGUAAAGGCUCACCAAGGCGACGAUCAGUAGCUGGUCUGAGAGGACGACCAGCCACACUGGGACUGAGACACGGCCCAGACUCCUACGGGAGGCAGCAGUGGGGAAUUUUGGACAAUGGGCGGAAGCCUGAUCCAGCAAUGCCGCGUGAGUGAAGAAGGCCUUCGGGUUGUAAAGCUCUUUUGUCAGGGAAGAAACGGAUGAGGAUAAUACCUUCGGCUAAUGACGGUACCUGAAGAAUAAGCACCGGCUAACUACGUG